AAGUCGAGGGGUAACGGCAGUAGCUUGCUACUAGACGACGACCGGCGCACGGGUGAGUAACGCGUAUGUAAUCUGCCUUGUACAGAGGGAUAGCCCAGAGAAAUUUGGAUUAAUACCUCAUAGUAUUACUGAAUCGCAUGAUUUGGUAAUUAAAGCUCCGGCGGUACAAGAUGAACAUGCGUGACAUUAGCUAGUUGGUAAGGUAACGGCUUACCAAGGCCACGAUGUCUAGGGGUUCUGAGAGGAUGAUCCCCCACACUGGUACUGAGACACGGACCAGACUCCUACGGGAGGCAGCAGUGAGGAAUAUUGGUCAAUGGACGCAAGUCUGAACCAGCCAUCCCGCGUGAAGGAUGACUGCCCUAUGGGUUGUAAACUUCUUUUAUAUGCAAAUAAACCUGCUUUCGUGAAAGUAGCUGAA
rnacentral:rRNA from 1 species